rnacentral:rRNA from 1 species
CCUACGGGAGGCAGCAGUGGGGAAUCUUGCACAAUGGGCGAAAGCCUGAUGCAGCGACGCCGCGUGAGUGAAGAAGUAAUUCGUUAUGUAAAGCUCUAUCAGCAGGGAAGAAAAUGAAGGUACCUGAGUAAGAAUUCCUGGCUAACUACGCGCCAGCAGCCGCGGUAAUACGUAGGGGGCAAGCGUUAUCCGGAUUUACUGGGUGUAAAGGGAGCGUAGACGGGAGUGCAAGUCAGGAGUGAAAGGCGGGGGCUCAACCGCCGGACUGCACUGGAUACUGUACGGCUGGAGUGCAGGAGAGGUAAGUGGAAUUCCUAGGGUAGCGGUGAAAUGCGUAGAUAUUAGGAAGAACACCAGUGGCGAAGGCGGCUUACUGGACUGUAACUGACGUUGAGGCUCGAAAGCGUGGGUAGCAAACAGGAUUAGAUACCCGUGUAGUC